rnacentral:rRNA from 1 species
CCUACGGGGGGCUGCAGUGGGGAAUAUUGGACAAUGGGGGCAACCCUGAUCCAGCCAUGCCGCGUGUGUGAAGAAGGCCCUCGGGUUGUAAAGCACUUUCAGUGAGGAAGAACGCCUGGUGGUUAAUACCCAUCAGGAAAGACAUCACUCACAGAAGAAGCACCGGCUAACCCCGUGCCAGCAGCCGCGGUAAUACGGAGGGUGCGAGCGUUAAUCGGAAUUACUGGGCGUAAAGCGCGCGUAGGUGGCUUGAUAAGCCGGUUGUGAAAGCCCCGGGCUCAACCUGGGAACGGCAUCCGGAACUGUCAAGCUAGAGUGCAGGAGAGGAAGGUAGAAUUCCCGGUGUAGCGGUGAAAUGCGUAGAGAUCGGGAGGAAUACCAGUGGCGAAGGCGGCCUUCUGGACUGACACUGACACUGAGGUGCGAAAGCGUGGGUAGCAAACAGGAUUAGAUACCCUAGUAGUC